rnacentral:lncRNA from 1 species
CUGCCCAAGAUUCAUUGGCUGGUUAGGCAUCCCCUGAUUCUGGAACCCGGGAUAGAUCUGUCCUUGCUGGAACCCUGUAGCCUGAUGAUUCUGUUGGGGCGUUUGCGGGAAGACUUGCUGCCCAAGCCAUCCAUUAUUAGCAUUCAUCGGCAUAGGUCCUGCCGAUGACUGAUAAUUGGGCAUUAUCAUUGAGUUGACAUACCCUGGUUGAAUCAUAGACCUCUGUUGCAUCA